rnacentral:rRNA from 1 species
UACGAACCGUACAAACGUUAUUCGGAAUCACUGGGCUUAAAGGGUGCGUAGGCGGCCAUGUAAGUGAGGUGUGAAAUCCCUCGGCUCAACCGAGGAACUGCGCUUCAUACUGCAUGGCUUGAGGGAGACAGGGGUAAGCGGAACUGAUGGUGGAGCGGUGAAAUGCGUUAAUAUCAUCAGGAACACCGGUGGCGAAAGCGGCUUACUGGGUCUCUUCUGACGCUGAGGUACGAAAGCUAGGGUAGCGAACGGG